rnacentral:lncRNA from 1 species
AGGCAAGCAUCUACCCCUGGGCGACACCUCCGUCCCUGGUACUGCUUUUAAUAUCAUGCUUACUGGACACUGUCAUCCAAAACACAAUACAAUCACCUUAAGGCAGAGAGAGAGAGAGAGAGAGAAUGUGCUCUGUGGGGUAGGCCCAUGCAAGCUUGAGUCUCAGCAGACACACACUAAAGAAAUGAUCUCCCGUGUCCCGGUGAAAUGGCGGUGGGACGUGCACACGAGUGUUUCUGGAUGGCCUUAAAGAAAGAAACUCUUUCAGAGAGCAGAGACCUUAACCAUCUUCCCAGCCUUUGAAGUUAUGCACAAUGACGUCCUUUGGUUCCUUGCCCGGGGCAGAGGUUUAAGCUUAAAGACUGUAUUUACUCACCAAGGAUCCUGGAACUGUUUUCACCAUGCUACAUGGCAGAAAGGCUGAGUUUUUAAAACGGCAAAUUAUAAGACAGUGAGGUGGGGGACAUCCUUUACAAGGGACACCCCACUGUGCUAAGGGGCUCGGGAGCUCUAGGUUUAACUUUCUGGGUUUAAUUUCCUUUCUUUUCAGUCCUCUGGACUAUUCAGAUCAGUCUCCUGGCACUAAAGUCAAAGUCACAAGAAGCAGGAGUAGGUUUGUCCAUCCUGCCUCAACCUGUCCUUGUGCCAGCCUGUCCAGCCAAAGCCUGUCCUGCAGACACCAGCAGCAAGCCCAGUGUGCAGGGUUACAGAGGUGGACAAGCUGACCGGACUUGAGUCCAGACGGAGGCCACAGCAGGCACAGGGAUCCCUCGGGUACCUGCAGGGACAGCGCCACCCCUGAGGAUUUGCAGGGGAAUGGCAGCUUUGGAAGAAGCAGGGUGUGCCAUGCUCUUCAGAGGGUGUGAGAUGAGUUGCAGAGACACAGUGAUGUUGGCCAGAUUUACGGUGGGUCCUGCCUGCCCCGGCCACCACUGGAACCCUGCACACCAAGUCUGCCCAGUGCUGAGUAUACAGAGGGCCCUCGUGACAUGCUUGUGGAACAAGGCCUGGUAACUGCUGCUCCCAACGCUUCUUCCCUGUCUGCUAGAUACCUGCCCAUCUAGGGCUAUAAUCUUUUUAGAGGCUCACCAGGCUCAGUCCUGGACAUGAAAACAUCCUCUCGCCAGAGCUCUUUGGUAUGUUUGAGUUCACUUUGAUCUUGUGCCAUGACAACAGCUCUUAUGCAACACCCCACACCCCCCUCCAAAAAAAAGCUGGGAAUCCAGUAUUAGUCACCUAAGGAAAGGUAAGAAUAUUCCAUGUUGUCGUUAUCGAGAUUUGGUGAUCUCCAUAAAAUUAGUUCCUGAAUUGGAGCCAUACACUUGAAGGAAAUAUGUUGCCUCGAGAUUUAUCUUUCUUCUUGGGAGGACUUGCUGGUGCCUCUACAGCACCUGAUGUUAGGAUAGGCCUCGGGCCAGUCAUUGUAAAGAGCAUCUGAAAAACCGCUCAGGGCGUCCCGAGUGUAGCUCCACGCAGAGGCCCUGGGUUCCAUUCCCAGCACCACAAAGAAGAGAAAAUCCCCCAGGACUUGGAGCUUGGUUGUUUUGUGGAGGAUAUGACUAUUUGUUUGCUUAAGCAAGGCUGUAUGCAGGGAAAAUGCUGAGAAAACAUUGGCUAAACCCGAGACCCCACCAGCAAAUAAAAGCCCACGGUUCGCAGUGUAUCCGUCUGGAGUCUUCUCCCUGAUUUAUAGGGAUGAAUAAUGUAUAAAUAAGCUGAACCCCAUUCAAACAAGUCAGCGAUCAGUUCACAGUAGAAGUGUAAACAUGACCCUUGGUUUAAGUUAACCUUCAACUCCAAAUUGUCUAUAUACACAAUAAAAUAAGGCCUGUGUGGGGGCCUGGGGGGUGUCUGCCA